UCCAACCAAGGCAGAACCAAACCUCCUUCAAUACUCAGUCGAGAUGCAGCAAACCACUAGAACCAGCUCCAAUUUGCCCAAGGUUUUGCUAAUUGUAAAUCCACCAUUUCCAUUAGCACCCUAUAAAAGAACUAUGUUAGAAAUUGUGCCAUAAGGGGAAAACCUAGACAAAUAGCAUUUACUCAAUGGUUAUGUAUCAAAAUUUGUGUGUGAAUGCAUUCAAGACAAAAAUUAAAAAUGACUUCAUACAAAGAGCUAGCAAAACACAAGUAAUAUGCAAAACACAAUAUCAGCUAUUAGAUAUCAUUUUCGAGACCUGUUUCUCUUGGUUAGACACAGGGCAGCCUUCCCAGCCCUCACCACUAAGCCAAAGCAUCUUCUUCUUACAACCCCAAUAUUAGAGCUCAAAUCAAUCCCAAAAACUAACCUACAAAUUACUAAUAACAUGUACAUCAAUUAUCACACAUCAAACCAUAAACUAUAUUGGCUAUUCAGCUCAACUUCCAGCAACCAAAUAGAUCCAUUGCCUUGUUAAGAGUAAUAGGAGGAAAAAUUGAACAACAACUUAGUAAUCUGAAGUUACAAUACCCACUAAAGAUAACUGAACAAUGUAAAAUCACUCAC
rnacentral:lncRNA from 1 species